rnacentral:rRNA from 1 species
AACAAACGCUGGCGGCGUGCCUAAUACAUGCAAGUCGAACGGGGAAAGCUUUCGGGUGAGUACUAGUGGCGCACGGGUGAGUAACGCGUGGAUAAUCUGCCUUAGAGUGGGGGAUAACUAGUCGAAAGAUUAGCUAAUACCGCAUAAGACCACAAGAACUGCGGUUCAAGGGGUCAAAGGUUUUUCGCUCUAAGAUGAGUCCGCGUAAGAUUAGCUAGUUGGUGAGGUAAUGGCUCACCAAGGCGACGAUCUUUAACUGGUCUGAGAGGAUGAUCAGUCACACUGGAACUGAGACACGGUCCAGACUCCUACGGGAGGCAGCAGUAGGGAAUAUUGCACAAUGGAGGAAACUCUGAUGCAGCGACGCCGCGUGAGUGAUGAAGGCCUUCGGGUCGUAAAGCUCUGUCGCAAGGGAAUAACACAAUGAAUGUACCUUGCAAGAAAGGAUCGGCUAACUUCGUGCCAGCAGCCGCCGUAAGAC